CAACGGGUGGAGCCUGCGGUUUAAUUGGACUCAACGCCGGGCAGCUCACCGGAUAAGACAGCUGGAUGAUAGCCGGGCUGAAGACUCUGCUUGACUAGCUGAGAGGAGGUGCAUGGCCGUCGUCAGUUCGUACUGUGAAGCAUCCUGUUAAGUCAGGCAACGAGCGAGACCCACGCCAACAGUUGCCAGCAUGUCCUCCGGGAUGAUGGGGACACUGUUGGGACCGCCUCUGCUAAAGAGGAGGAAGGAAUGGGCAACGGUAGGUCAGCAUGCCCCGAAUUAUCCGGGCUACACGCGGGCUACAAUGGUCAGGACAAUGGGUAUCGACACCGAGAGGUGGAGGCAAUCUCCUAAACCUGUCCUUAGUUCGGAUUGUGGGCUGCAACUCGCCCACAUGAAGCUGGAAUCUGUAGUAAUCGUGUCUCAAAAUGGCACGGUGAAUAUGUCCCUGCUCCUU
rnacentral:rRNA from 1 species